AAAAGAAACAAAUGAAAGCAAACGAAACAGAGAAGAACAGGGGAGAAAGAAAGGAAAGAAGAAAGAAAAGGGGAAAUAAGGUUUAUGAAGCUUGGAGUUAAUUGCCAACAAAGAACCUGAAGCAUCAGCAUCGAAAGGAAAGGAGAAAGUCAUCGAGGACUAAAACGGGAGAAUUACGGUGUGUAUUACUAUAAUUCGAAUUUUAAUUAUUAUUGAUUGCUGAAUUUUUUUUUAUUGUUAUGGAUGGUAAGUAAGACUUGAGGUAAGUAUGUGAAAUUGAUAUGAAUAUUGAGUGAAAAUGAAAGUGAUGCAAAUUGAAUCAAAUUGAAUUAAAUAA